GUAGGAGGCAAUGCCUCGUCCUCCUACUCAACUCCUAUUCCGGCACGUCCACGUCGUGCAGAGCGGUAACAUGCGUUACUAGGGAUGCAAGAGCUCUUUUUGAGGAGGAGCUCUUUUUGCUGCACUAGUUGCAUCAGAUGGUAACGCAUGGCUAAGCCGGAAAGGGGGAGACAGGCCAACAAAUUAGUGCUGGAAAUUUGUUGGUUCUGGCUUCUGUAAAUAGUGUAAAGUCCACAGUUCCUGCUGUACGAAGUAGUGAGGCUCAGCAUCCCGGCCUUACCUUCAACGGCAAACGAAAAAACAGCGGAGCUGAUCAAUAAAAAUUAUUUUCAAACUGUUCCAAGUGUUCUGGAGCGUACAAUUUUAAUCAUUGGAAGAGUUCAACAAAACACCAGCCCCAAUGGCCAGCAAUUUGUUCGGGGUUUGUGGAACAAAAUUGAAGCGAUCGAUGUUUAAGAACCAGAGCUGUCAACAAAUUGAAGACAUUCUGCACUGGAUUUGUAACCUUUAUCCACAGCUUCACCAGUGAAGCGAUCGAUGUUUAAGAACCAGAGCUGACAACCAAUUGAAGACAUUCUGCACUGGAUUUGUAACCUUUUCAAGAAUCGAUCUCCCUACCCUUUGAUACAAGCUUUUCCUGCGACUAGUACUGCUCAACCAUUCAACGACCAACGGUUUCAAAAGAUCAACCUAAACGCGAUCAACCAUCUGUCCUCAACCAUCUAAUCAACCAUUACAAUCAACUCUGCAAUUCAACAAUCAAUCGGCAAACCGAUCAACCCGCCACAAUCAGCUUAGUUGUGAUAAGGUAUAGUGGUACCCCGCUCAUAAAAAACAACUUAUACUCUGCUGCUUCGGGCGACUACAAAAAUGUAAAUGCGAUGAUUAGAUUAUGUUGGGUUGGGUUUUUAAAUUACAUUUAAUGUUUAUUUUUAUUAUUUAGACCCUCUCGAAAUAGCUUUAAGUUUAUCGAAACAUUCUUUUCAAUUCAGUAGAAUGUGUGAGUAUAUGUGCGUAUGUGUGUGUCUGUUUUUUUUUUAAAUUAAUUUUACAGUAAGUGAUGAUUUUUUGUCUCUUAUUCAAUACUCUUGGAUUAUUUUAUAUCUCUAAUGCUCACAGCAAUACAGCUACUUGUCCUCAUAGCAAUACCUAUUGUCGAACUUGCCCUGAAGCUGUUUGCUAUACAGUAACGAGAACCCGUUUACAACGAGCAAAUCUAAAUGUCCAACCAAUACCACUCUUAACGAGUAAAAUCUCGCACAACGAGCAAUAUGUUCCUGGUACAUUUUUCGCAUGCCGGUGUGCAAUCAACUUCACGAUUACAUUGAGUAUUUCUUUUAUGUUGAAUAUAUUUCUUCCUUAUCCGGCACUGAAACCGCUUUGCGCUUUAGGCCUGCCCUGAGUGUCCGGAACCGCUCACGGUUUCGCGCCUUCGUUUGCCAGUCCGUUAUCCCGGCCUUAAUGGUGGACGCCUCCAGGCCAUCUUGCCAGCUCAAUUUGUGCCUCUAUACUUGUGGACGGCCCUUCGGAGCCUGGCGAGCUUGAUACGCUGCACGACAGUGAGGUCGCUGUACAUCUCGUCUCGAAUGUGGACUAUUACUCAGUAAUCGAGUAUUUCUAGAGCAUUUUUCUGAAUUUACUUGCUCAUGAAGACGAGAAUUUCCCCUACAAUUUCGGUACGUCAAUCAUUUGUCAAGUGUUAGUCGAAACGUAUUUCGUGUAAUCUUUCCAAGAAAUUUCAACAAUCUUUAAUUAUUGGCCUGGUACUUGGAAGCUUCCGAGAACAGGUAUAUCUGGUGAAGAAGAUAGCUUCAGAUUUAAUUAAAGUAUCCAUUUUGUACAAUAUUUACCAUAUUUUUUUAAGUGCCGUGUUUAGAUUUUUAACAAUAGUUUUUUUGGAUUUUUCGCUGCAGAUGAAAGCGCAACAUCGUCAGCAUAAAAGUAUUGCUCGCAGUUCUUCAUGUAAGGAAUAUCUAAGGUAUAUAUGUGCGAUAGUAAAGGCAAACAGAACACUGCUUUGAGUAAAACCGGUUUUUGGCGUACGUAUACUUGAUGUGCUAUUUAAAAUAUGUGUUCUGUUAUGUCGAUUAGAAAUGAAUGAAUUUACUAUAUUGAUAAAGUAACUUGGAAAAUUUAGUUGGAUGAGUUUGAAAGUAAACCUUGAUAUCAGAUAGAGUCAAAAGCUUUCUCAGUAUCUAGAAGAAUUAUUACAUCUGUUGUGUGUGGUAUUGUUCUUUAAUCUAUGGAGUUGGUGUGUAGUAGCAAGAGUGGGACAGAAACCAAAUUGACUAUUCGGGAUUAUGUUGUUGUUGGACGUAUGGAGUGAUAGUCGGCUUUCUAAUUUUUUUUUAAAUAUUGUACCCAAGCUACUAAAAAUCUAUAGUUUUCUAGUUGACUGUUAUCUGUGGUUUGGGUAUCGCGAUAACUUAAACUAUUGUCAAUCCAUUUGGAAAGUAGCCAUGUUUUAGGCAACUAUUUAGAAUGGUAUUGAGGUAUAUAAUGCCUUUUGGAGGUUUUUUUUUUGAGUAUGUAGUUGAAACAGUUUGGUUUUAUUAUGUUAGUCUUAUUUCAUUGAAAUUAGAUUUGUUGAGACUUAUUAUUUUAACGUAUUAUUCAGUCAGUGUCUUUGCCUCUGUCUGUGACACAUAUUUCGAAUUUUUAUAAGGUUAAUAAUAUCUGGGAAGGGGUUAUUGAAUUACACCUUCCUGCUGAUUGUAAUGGUAUUGCAAUAUGCAGGAAGCGUCUAUCAUCAGCACAUUUGCGGUCCUGGAACGAAUUAUUCCACUUUUUCUUACAAAUCAUAUGGACAAAAUAUAACUAGUUUUUUUUUCAAAUAACGAGUAAGCCACUGGAUAGAGUUUAAUCGUUUCGAGAGGUUCCACUGUAUUCCAUUUAUAAACUCACGCCUGACAAUGUUUUGUGAACUUCGCCCCAUUAUCUGUCACGAUCCUAAUUCGUAAUUUCUUUUUUGUGCCUUACUCUCACGUGCUGUACCGGUAAAGUGUCACUUUUCGAAACAAAACAACAGUGACAAACUACUACUACUAUGUAUAUGAUAAUUCCCUUGAUGUAAGAGAGUAAAGAUUUGGACGGUUCAAACGCUUUGGUAAGCAGAUACACCGUUGGCAGCGUCUUAAGUCACUGCGUUCGUGUGUAUCGAAUAAGCUGCCCCACCAAUUGCCUAUGGGCCAAUUACGUUUGCAUCCUUUUAAAAGGAUCACACGCUUAAUUUAAACUACGCACAAUAAUGAUGUGCUGUAUUUUCAACAAGCACUUAGGUUU